rnacentral:rRNA from 1 species
AUUGAACGCUGGCGGCAGGCCUAACACAUGCAAGUCGAGCGGUAGAGAGAAGCUUGCUUCUCUUGAGAGCGGCGGACGGGUGAGUAAUGCCUAGGAAUCUGCCUGGUAGUGGGGGAUAACGUUCGGAAACGGACGCUAAUACCGCAUACGUCCUACGGGAGAAAGCAGGGGACCUUCGGGCCUUGCGCUAUCAGAUGAGCCUAGGUCGGAUUAGCUAGUUGGUGGGGUAAUGGCUCACCAAGGCGACGAUCCGUAACUGGUCUGAGAGGAUGAUCAGUCACACUGGAACUGAGACACGGUCCAGACUCCUACGGGAGGCAGCAGUGGGGAAUAUUGGACAAUGGGCGAAAGCCUGAUCCAGCCAUGCCGCGUGUGUGAAGAAGGUCUGCGGAUUGUAAAGCACUUUAAGUUGGGAGGAAGGGCAGUAAAUUAAUACUUUGCUGUUUUGACGUUACCGACAGAAUAAGCACCGGCUAACUCUGU